rnacentral:sRNA from 1 species
UUCUUGUGAACGUAGUUGUACUUGC